GGAAGGGUAGAGCUCCUUGGUAGAGCGUGUGCUUAGCAGGCACAAGAUCCUGUGUUCAAUUCCUAGUACCUCCU
rnacentral:tRNA from 1 species